UAAGACGGAGGGGGCUAGCGUUGUUCGGAAUUACUGGGCGUAAAGCGCGCGUAGGCGGACCAUUAAGUUGGGCGUGAAAGCCCUGGGCUCAACCCCGGGAUUGCGCUCGAAACUGGUGGACUAGAGUCCGGGAGAGGGUAGUGGAAUUCCCAGUGUAGAGGUGAAAUUCGUAGAUAUUGGGAAGAACACCAGUGGCGAAGGCGGCUAUCUGGACCGGUACUGACGCUAAGGUGCGAAAGCGUGGGGAGCAAACAGGAUUAGAUACCCUGGUAGUCCACGCCGUAAACGAUGAGUGCCAGACGUCGGGGGGCUUGCCUUUCGGUGUCGCAGUUAACGCAUUAAGCACUCCGCCUGGGGAGUACGGCCGCAAGGUUA
rnacentral:rRNA from 1 species